AACGCAUCUUGCGCCCGGUGGUAUUCCGCCGGGCAUGCCUGUCUGAGUGUCAUUACUAUCUCAACCCUAGCGAUGUUGUCAUGACGUUGCUGAGCGGAUUGGAACUUGGACUUGGCGGGGUUCGUCCUGCCGGUCUUAAAUAGAGUAGGCUAGCCGACUAUCAGCGGUUUGACCGGGUGUUGUAGAGUCGCCUCACUCGGGACGCUGAGCGGAUUAGUUGAAUUGUAAUUGUAUUACUCGAGCGAUUUAGACCUCAGAUCAGGUAGGAUUACCCGCUGAACUUAA
rnacentral:misc_RNA from 1 species